rnacentral:rRNA from 1 species
GGCCAGACUCCUACGGGAGGCAGCAGUCGGGAAUAUUGCGCAAUGGAGGAAACUCUGACGCAGUGACGCCGCGUGCAGGAAGAAGGUUUUCGGAUUGUAAACUGCUUUAGACAGGGAAGAAAAAAGACAGUACCUGUAGAAUAAGCUCCGACUAACUACGUGCCAGCAGCCGCGGUAAUACGGAGGAUGCGAGCGUUAUCCGGAUUUAUUGGGUUUAAAGGGUGCGUAGGCGGGCUGUUAAGUCAGCGGUCAAAUGUCGGGGCUCAACCCCGGCCUGCCGUUGAAACUGGCGGCCUCGAGUGGGCGAGAAGUAUGCGGAAUGCGUGGUGUAGCGGUGAAAUGCAUAGAUAUCACGCAGAACUCCGAUUGCGAAGGCAGCAUACCGGCGCCCGACUGACGCUGAGGCACGAAAGCGUGGGUAUCGAACAGGAUUAGAUACCCGAGUA